rnacentral:rRNA from 1 species
CCCUUAGAUGUUCUGGGCCACACGCGCGCUACACUGAUGCAUUCAACGAGCCUAUCCUUGACCGACAGGUCCGGGUAAUCUUUGAAUCUGCAUCGUGACGGGGAUAGAUUAUUGCAAUUAUUAAUCUUCAACGAGGAAUGCCUAGUAAGCGUGAUUCAUCAAAUCGCGUUGAUUACGUCCCUGCCCUUUGUACACACCGCCCGUCGCUCCUACCGAUUGAGUGUGUUGGUGAGGAGUUUGGAUUGGCCUCGGAAGGUGGUUCGCCACCGUCCGUAGCUGAGAAGUUCUCCAAACCGCCCCACUUAGAGGAAGGAGAAGUCGUAACA